GAAUCCCGUCUUUGGCACGGACCCCCAGGGCUUCUGCGAUGCGCUCUCGAAGAGUCGAGUUGUUUGGGAAUGCAGCUCAAAAUGGGUGGUGAACUCCAUCUAAAGCUAAAUAUUGGCGAGAGACCGAUAGCGAACAAGUACCGUGAGGGAAAGAUGAAAAGCACUUUGGAAAGAGAGUGAAACAGUACGUGAAAUUGUUGAAAGGGAAACGCUUGAAGUCAGUCGCGUCGAUCGGGACUCAGCCUUGCCUUGGCUUGGCGUACUUCUCGGCUUGACGGGUCAGCAUCGAUUUCGACCCUCAGAUAAUGAUGGGGGAAAGGUGGCACCUUUACAGGUGUGUUAUAGUCCUCUAUCGGAUGUGCGGGUUGGGAUCGAGGAACUCAGCACGCACCUCUCGGUGUCGGGGCCUCGGCCCACGUUCACGUGCUUAGGAUGCUGGCGUAAUGGCUUUAAACGACCCGUCUUGAAACACGGACCAAGGAGUCUAACAUACCCGCGAGUGUUCGGGUGGAAAACCCGUGCGCGCAAUGAAAGUGAAAGUUGGGAUCCCUGUCGUGGGGAGCACCGACGCCCAUACCAGACCUUCUGUGACGGAUAUGCGGUUGAGCAUGUAUGUUGGGACCCGAAAGAUGGUGAACUAUGCCUGAAUAGGGUGAAGCCAGAGGAAACUCUGGUGGAAGCUCGUAGCGAUUCUGACGUGCAAAUCGAUCGUCAAAUUUGGGUAUAGGGGCGAAAGACUAAUCGAACCAUCUAGUAGCUGGUUCCUGCC
rnacentral:rRNA from 1 species